AAGCUUGACUAUAGUUACCACAGAUGAGUUAUUGGUUCUUUUUGUUCCUUUUCAGGGUGGAGAUACCAUUAGUGUUGGUGGUGGAGGUAGCCCUGUUAUAGAAGGCAAUGGCAUAGGGAACAAUUUUCAACCUGGUUCAAGAAAUAAUGGCAACACCAUUAGCAUUGGGGAUGGCGGCAACCCUGUUGUUGAAGGCAAUGGCAUUGGGGUGAGUGUGGGACAAACUUCCUUGCAUUUCCUGCUGAUCAGCAUUGCCUUCUUCUCUGUAGAAAAAUGGUUUCUGUUUAAAAUCAAAGCAGACUUUUCACUGGAUUUUCCUUCCCCCUUCAAAAAAUACAGUAUGACUAUCUAAAAUUCAAAAGCAAGAGGAAGAAAAUCCAUACACAAUAAUAAAUAGCGAGAAUAUUCACA
rnacentral:lncRNA from 1 species